rnacentral:tRNA from 16 species
GGGCCCAUGGCGCAGUCCGGUAGCGCACCUCGUUCGCAUCGAGGGGGUCAGGGGUUCGAAUCCCCUUGGGUCCACCA